CCCGCUGAACUUAAGCAUAUCAAUAAGCGGAGGAAAAGAAACCAACAGGGAUUGCCUCAGUAACUGCGAGUGAAGCGGCAACAGCUCAAAUUUGAAAUCUGGCUCUUUUAGGGUCCGAGUUGUAAUUUGUAGAGGAUGCUUCGGCGACGGCGCCGGCCUAAGUUCCUUGGAACAGGACGACAUAGAGGGUGAGAAUCCCGUAUGUGAUGGGUGGCCCUUGUCAUGUGAAGCUCCUUCGAAGAGUCGAGUUGUUUGGGAAUGCAGCUCUAAAUGGGAGGUAAAUUUCUUCUAAAGCUAAAUACUGGCCAGAGACCGAUAGCGCACAAGUAGAGUGAUCGAAAGAUGAAAAGCACUUUGGAAAGAGAGUCAAAAAGUACGUGAAAUUGUUGAAAGGGAAGCGCUUGCGACCAGACCUGCCUGCAGGUGCUCAUCCGGGCUUUUGCCCGGUGCACUCUUCUGCUGACAGGCCAGCAUCAGUUCGGGCGGUCGGAUAAAGGCUUCGGGAAUGUAUCUCCUCUCGAGGAGUGUUAUAGCCCGCUGCGCAAUGCCGCCAGCUUGAACUGAGGUCCGCGCUUCGGCUAGGAUGCUGGCGUAAUGGUCGUAAGCGACCCGUCUUGAAACACGG
rnacentral:rRNA from 1 species